UUUAACGGCCGCGGUAUUCUAACCGUGCAAAGGUAGCGUAAUCACUUGUCUCCUAAAUAGAGACCAGUAUGAAUGGCUAAAUGAGGACAAACCUGUCUCUUACAACCUAUCAGUGAAACUGAUCUUCAAGUCCAAAAGCUAGAAUAUUAACAUAAGACGAGAAGACCCUGUGGAGUUUAAAACACACUACUAAUUAAACUAAACAAAUAGAACAACUAGUACAAGUUUUGAGUUGGGGCGACUUUGGAACAAAACAAAACUUCCAAGCACAGAACCACCACUUCUAACCAAGGCCAACAAGCCAAAGCAAAAACUGACCCAGUAAUACUGAUCAACGAACCAAGUUACCCCAGGGAUAACAGCGCUAUCUUCUUCAAGAGUCCAUAUCGACAAGAAGGUUUACGACCUCGAUGUUGGAU
rnacentral:rRNA from 1 species